rnacentral:rRNA from 1 species
AUUGAACGCUGGCGGCAGGCCUAACACAUGCAAGUCGAACGAGUGGCGGACGGGUGAGUAAUGUCUGGGAAACUGCCCGAUGGAGGGGGAUAACUACUGGAAACGGUAGCUAAUACCGCAUACCAUCGGAUGUGCCCACAUGGGAUUAGCUAGUAGGUGGGGUAACGGCUCACCUAGGCGACGAUCCCUAGCAGGCCUGAGAGGAUGACCAGCAACACUUGAACUGACACACGGUCCAGACUCCUACGGGAGGCAGCAGUGGAGACUAUUGCACAAGGGGCGCAAGCCUGAUGCAGCCAGGCCGCGUGUAUGAAGAAGGCCUUCGGGUUGUAAAGCACUUUCAGCGAGGAGGCGUUACUCGCAGAAGAAGCACCGGCUAACUCCGUGCCAGCAGCCGCGGUAAUUC